GAUGAACGCUGGCGGCGUGCCUAAUACAUGCAAGUCGAGCGAACGGACGAAAAGCUUGCUUCUCUGAUGUUAGCGGCGGACGGGUGAGUAACACGUGGAUAACCUACCUAUAAGACUGGGAUAACUUCGGGAAACCGGAGCUAAUACCGGAUAAUAUUUUGAACCGCAUGGUUCAAAAGUAAAAGACGGUCUUGCUGUCACUUAUAGAUGGAUCCGCGCUGCAUUAGCUAGUUGGUAAGGUAACGGCUUACCAAGGCAACGAUGCAUAGCCGACCUGAGAGGGUGAUCGGCCACACUGGAACUGAGACACGGUCCAGGCUCCUACGGGAGGCAGCAGUAGGGAAUCUUCCGCAAUGGGCGAAAGCCUGACGGAGCAACGCCGCGUGAGUGAUGAAGGUCUUCGGAUCGUAAAACUCUGUUAUUAGGGAAGAACAUAUGUGUAAGUAACUGUGCACAUCUUGACGGUACCUAAUCAGAAAGCCACGGCUAACUACGUG
rnacentral:rRNA from 1 species